rnacentral:rRNA from 1 species
CCUACGGGGUGCAGCAGUGGGGAAUAUUGGACAAUGGGCGAAAGCCUGAUCCAGCCAUGCCGCGUGUGUGAAGAAGGCCUUCGGGUUAUAAAGCACUUUCAGUGGGGAAGAAAGCCUUGGGGCUAAUACCCUCGAGGAAGGACAUCACCCACAGAAGAAGCACCGGCUAACUCCGUGCCAGCAGCCGCGGUAAUACGGAGGGUGCGAGCGUUAAUCGGAAUUACUGGGCGUAAAGCGCGCGUAGGCGGUCUGAUAAGCCGGUUGUGAAAGCCCCGGGCUCAACCUGGGAACGGCAUCCGGAACUGUCAGGCUAGAGUGCAGGAGAGGAAGGUAGAAUUCCCGGUGUAGCGGUGAAAUGCGUAGAGAUCGGGAGGAAUACCAGUGGCGAAGGCGGCCUUCUGGACUGACACUGACGCUGAGGUGCGAAAGCGUGGGUAGCAAACAGGAUUAGAUACCCUAGUAGUC